rnacentral:rRNA from 1 species
CCUACGGGUGGCAGCAGUGGGGAAUAUUGCACAAUGGGGGAAACCCUGAUGCAGCGACGCCGCGUGAGUGAAGAAGUAUUUCGGUAUGUAAAGCUCUAUCAGCAGGGAAGAAAUAGCGACCUUUGGGUCGCCAGACGGUACCUGACUAAGAAGCCCCGGCUAACUACGUGCCAGCAGCCGCGGGAAUACGUAGGGGGGAAGCGUUAUCCGGAUUUACUGGGUGUAAAGGGAGCGUAGACGGCAGCACAAGUCUGAAGUGAAAUGCCGGGGCUUAACCCCGGACCUGCUUUGGAUACUGUCCAGCUAGAGUGAAGGAGAGGUAAGUGGAAUUCCUAGUGAAGCGGUGAAAUGCGUAGAUAUUAGGAGGAACACCAGUGGCGAAGGCGGCUUACUGGAUUGUAACUGACGUUGAGGCUCGAAAGCGUGGGGAACAAACAGGAUUAGAUACCCCUGUAGUC